UUUAUAUUUUAGAAUCUGAUAUAAGUUUUUUAUAUUAUUCAGUAGAAGAAGAAUUGGUCAUAGCUUUCUUGGUAGUGAUGGCUCGAGCUUCAAAUAAUUAAGGUGAAAAACUAUUAUUUUUAUUCACUGUAGAGUAUAAAGCUAUGGUAUCUUAUGGGGCCUGGAUAUGUAUUCCCUUGCAAAUUUUUCCUUUUCCCCCCACAAAGAUUUCACCAUGUUUCCUUGUUUUCCCAACUUUAUGGUCCCUUGUUUUUUUAUCAUUUUUUUUCUUUGAAUUCUGAUUGCAAAAUAUGCAUUGUUCUCUGGUUUCCUAAAACCAGCCCUGGGAGACCCUCAGUACAGUCUCACAAUUAUUUGGUGUUAAGAAUUUUAGGACCCAAAGGC